AAGACCUUACUUCAUAGGAUCAUUUCUAUAGUAAGCUCUUCACGCAACUUCUCACAACACGUGGGAAAUAUCCAGCCAUGAUGAAGAGACGUGGCGCGGUACCCUGAGCGUGAGGCUGGCGAUGAUGUAAAUCAUUAGCCCUCGAUGAUCGUUCACUUCUUCGCUUGCGAAGAAGCGUGGGGUACUGUCGCUGUCUGAGUGGC